rnacentral:rRNA from 1 species
CAGUCGCCACGGGAAUACAGAGGAUGCAAGCGUUAUCCGGAAUGAUUGGGCGUAAAGCGUCUGUAGGUGGCUUUGUAAGUCAGAGGUGAAAGCCUGGAGCUCAACUCCAGAACUGCCUUUGAGACUGCAUCGCUUGAAUCCAGGAGAGGUGAGUGGAAUUCCGAGUGUAGAGGUGAAAUUCGUAGAUAUUCGGAAGAACACCAGUGGCGAAGGCGGCUCACUGGACUGGUAUUGACGCUGAGGUGCGAAAGCGUGGGGAGCAAACAGGAUUAGAUACCCCAGUAGUCCCUGUCUCUUAUAC